GACGUAGGGGGCCAGCGUUGUUCGGAAUUACUGGGUGUAAAGGGUUCGUAGGCGGUGCGGCAAGUCGGGAGUGAAAUCUCUGGGCUCAACCCAGAGACUGCUUCCGAAACUGCUGUGCUUGAGUGUGGGAGAGGCGCGUGGAAUUGGGGGUGUAGCGGUGGAAUGCGUAGAGAUCCCCAAGAACACCAGUUGCGAAGGCGGCUGACUGGACACAUAUUGACGCUGAGGCUCGAAAGCAUGGGGAGCAAACAGG
rnacentral:rRNA from 1 species